GCACAAGCGGUGGAGCAUGUGGUUUAAUUCGACGCAACGCGCAGAACCUUACCAGCCCUUGACAUGUCUAUGACCGGUACCAGAGAUGGAACCUUCCCUUCGGGGCAUAGAGCACAGGUGCUGCAUGGCUGUCGUCAGCUCGUGUCGUGAGAUGUUGGGUUAAGUCCCGCAACGAGCGCAACCCCCGUCCUUAGUUGCUACCAUUUAGUUGAGCACUCUAAGGAGACUGCCGGUGAUAAGCCGCGAGGAAGGUGGGGAUGACGUCAAGUCCUCAUGGCCCUUACGGGCUGGGCUACACACGUGCUACAAUGGCGGUGACAAUGGGACGCUAAGGGGCAACCCUUCGCAAAUCUCAAAAAGCCGUCUCAGUUCGGAUUGGGCUCUGCAACUCGAGCCCAUGAAGUUGGAAUCGCUAGUAAUCGUGGAUCAGCAUGCCACGGUGAAUACGUUCCCGGGCCUUGUACACACCGCCCGUCACACCAUGGGAGUUGGUUUUACCUGAAGACGGUGCGCUAACCGAAAGGGGGCAGCCGGCCACGGUAGGGUCAGCGACUGGGGUGAAGUCGUAACAAGGUAGCCGUAA
rnacentral:rRNA from 1 species